AUGGCAGAUCUAACUUGAUCUCCUUCUUUGAUUGUCUCAAACCUUUCUGAUAUCGAAGAUGGAUCAGAAGAGGAUGCAGGAUGGUGGAGAAAAAUCAAAUGAAGACUCUCUUCUCUUUGAUUUUUUUCUUACCCAAAAAUCUAAAAUAGUUCUAGAUCUCUCACCCGAGAAGAGAACGGUCUCCUCUUUUGCUCAUGCCAAGGAAGAAUGAAACCUACCC
rnacentral:lncRNA from 1 species